GAAUGCUGACACACACAGACCCGACUUUAUUCUGCCUCCAGAGUCUUUUAUGACUCAGCCUUGGGAACGAAAAUAGGGUUUGGAGAGAAAUAAUGUGCCCGAGGCCGGGUGGGGCGCAGCUGUUCCAGAUGUGCGCUGGAGGGCGCCAAAGGCGACGCGCUGGCGGCCAGCUCCAAGCCAACCAGGCCCAUAGCGUCCGCAGGAACCUGUCCCUUUAGACCCGGCACUGGACGCGGAGCUUCGAAGAGGAUCUGGCUGCGAGCGGAUUCAACGCCAGGGCGCCGCCUAGAGGACAAGAGGGGAUAUAAACUGUUUGAAGUUCAUCAGCACGGUGAAGUUUUAUUGUAUUUCCGGUCCCCAAGAUUUACGCCCUCCCCGGAGGGGAAACCGGCAGCCAGGCAGACUCCCUUCUUACCUCCGACUUCCAUGCCCGACACGAAGCCACGCGGACACUUGCCUUCGGGCACAGGGAGGGAGGGAGCCGGGUCCGGCUGGCUCUCUGGCACACCCGGUGCGGCAGCCUCACUGGCUCAAUUCUACUUGGCUCUGCUCUCCUGCCUACUCCCCGUCUCAAGGCUGGGC
rnacentral:lncRNA from 1 species